rnacentral:lncRNA from 1 species
UGCCAAAAAAAAUAGAUCUGGAGAACCCAGCAGAUGACAUCGGUAAACUCAUCGUCAAACUCGACAUAUUAAUCUGGUUCCCUAUUCACUUCUCUAGUCGCUACUAUUCUCUUGUCUUCUCGCUCCGAUCGACCAAGGUUUCUUCACAACAUACGGCUGCUGCUCAAGAAGAAGAGGUUGCAGAAGAAAUAAGGAGAGCAAACCAACAACAAAAAGAAGCAAAAUGGUAUAGCUCAUUCCUAGGGCUAAACAAGAACCAGCUGUAGAGAAGGAUUUCAAUGGUCAAUCAGGUCAAAUAGCACAAAAGGAAGGCAGUCUAAGACAAGGUUCAUGUAUGGCCUGAUAAAUGGAAAAAAUACUCCAAAAAGAGGAAAGAAAGGAACAAGGGGAAAGCAGGGAUAAUAUGGUUUUAUUCUUUCUAAGUAUUGUCAAUAGCUUUUUAAAGUGUAGACAAUAGUUUUUUGUAAUGUAGACAAUACCUUUCUUAAAUAUUGGCAGUAGUCUUUAAUAUUGUUGGUAAUAGAUAUCAUGUUGUUGCCAUAA